UCCCGCUCAAGAACACACGGUUUGAUCUCCAGACAGCUACGUUUUCAGUCACUGCCGAUAAGUAUGUUCUCCUCCACAACUUCAACGUCAACAAUGAAACUAGACCUUUCCUCAGGGAGUACCUUAUUAAUGUGACUGAUCCAAAGUUUUCCCUUCACUUUCAACCUAUAAAGAAUUCUGCUGCUUUCAUCAAUGCCAUUGAGGUUGUUUCUGCCCCCGAUGUUUUGCUCCCUGAUGAAGGCACUGGCCUCUUCCCCAUUUCGAGCUUUUCAG
rnacentral:misc_RNA from 1 species